UCCCCAGUUUCCUUCCGCUUGGUUCGAAUCCUACUUGGGGAGAUUUGAUUCA
rnacentral:tRNA from 1 species